GAUGAACGCUAGCGGCAGGCCUAACACAUGCAAGUCGAGGGGUAGCAGGAUUAAGCUUGCUUAAUUGCUGACGACCGGCGCACGGGUGCGUAACGCGUAUGCAACCUACCUUAUACUGGGGUAUAGCCCGGAGAAAUUCGGAUUAAUCCCGCAUAGUACUAAUGAAUCGCAUGGUUUAUUAGUUAAAGCAUUGCGGUAUAAGAUGGGCAUGCGUCCUAUUAGCUAGGUGGUGAGGUAACGGCUCACAAUGGCUACGAUAGGUAGGGGGCCUGAGAGGGUGGUCCCCCACACUGGUACUGAGACACGGACCAGACUCCUACGGGAGGCAGCAGUGAGGAAUAUUGGUCAAUGGGCGAAAGCCUGAACCAGCCAUGCCGCGUGCAGGAAGAAUGCCCUAUGGGUUGUAAACUGCUUUUAUUUGGGAAUAAACCUCUUUACGUGUAGAGAGCUGAAGGUACCAAAUGAAUAAGCACCGGCUAACUCCGUGCCAGCAGCCGCCGUAA
rnacentral:rRNA from 1 species